UCUUUGCGGCCGAUAAGCGGUGCCGAGAGGCUCAAUAGGGAAUCGGGUGCAAAUCCCGGACAGUUCCCGCUGCUGUAAGCUCUUCACGCUGGUCACUAUGCCACUGAAAACCUAGUCUUUCGGGAAGGCGGCCAGAACAAAGGAGUAAGUCAGAAGACCUGCCGCCUGUCGCUGAAACAAG
rnacentral:ncRNA from 17 species